rnacentral:SRP_RNA from 1 species
UCAGGAUAGCCGGGGGGUUAAGGGUCCCUUGGAAGCCGCAAUCCCUUUAAGCGGGGCGACGAGUUGAAGGGAAGGCUGCGUGUCAACAGUUUUUCAACUUCUCGUUUAACCGUAGACGUUUUGCCUUGCGUUACGAGCGUGGUUAUGAACCGAGCCAGGUCGGAAGAAGCAACUCUAAGUAAUCACUCCCGUGCUCGCAAGUCUACAAAGCCGAGGUGACACGGGUUGUUGAACCUGUUGAUCACAGUCAACUUCAACCUCCUGA